UUUUUUGUUUUUUUUUUUUUUUUUUUUUUUGUUUUUUUUUUUUUGUUUGUUUGCUUUUUUUGGUUUUGUUUAAUUGUUUGUGGGGUGAGGGCNNNNNNNNNNNNNNNNNNNNNNNNNNNNNNNNNNNNNNNNNNNNNNNNNNNNNNNNNNNNNNNNNNNNNNNNNNNNNNNNNNNNNNNNNNNNNNNNNNNNNNNNNNNNNNNNNNNNNNNNNNNNNNNNNNNNNNNNNNNNNNNNNNNNNNNNNNNNNNNNNNNNNNNNNNNNNNNNNNNNNNNNNNNNNNNNNNNNNNNNNNNNNNNNNNNNNNNNNNNNNNNNNNNNNNNNNNNNNNNNNNNNNNNNNNNNNNNNNNNNNNNNNNNNNNNNNNNNNNNNNNNNNNNNNNNNNNNNNNNNNNNNNNNNNNNNNNNNNNNNNNNNNNNNNNNNNNNNNNNNNNNNNNNNNNNNNNNAUUAGUUGAUUGAUUAUAAACACUUAUAUUUCUUUUGAUUUAUUAAGAUUGAACCUUAUAAUUAUAUUAAAAAAAAAUCAUAUGUGCCUGGCCAAGUCAGGUAAGAUGGUAUUCAUAGAGCUCAUAUUAUCCAUCAAACUACAGUCUAAUAAAUUAUAUUUGGAAUUUGAAGUAACAUAUAACGACGAUUGGUGGAUUCAUAACGGUUCAAAUUUACAUAAUUUCUGAGAUAAUUAAGCGUAUUUAAGAAGAAAAAAAGUAUAAAAAGCAUGAAAUAUAUAAGGAUUUCAUAUAAUCCCUUACAAGGAAUUUAUAUAAAAAAAUUUCCCUUAAAACUCGGGGAAUGGUUGGGACAUAGUUCGAGCAAGUUUUGGUCUAUCUUUUCCAUUGAUUUUUCAUACUCAACUAUUUAUUCAAUACAUCAACUAAACCAUAGAUUAAAUACGAACGAUGUCCAUGAUAUAAAAGAGAUACCAAACAAAAAUUAGAUGAAAACACGCGAAAUACUCACAUUGGUGUGGUGGAAAAGGGCUGGAUCCUGUUGGAGCCAUAGCCAUUUUCUUCAUCGACAUCAUGAAUGUCAACUCCCCCUCCCCCUCCAGCAGCCAUGGUGAGCUUCUUGAUUUAUCGUUGCCUUCCAAUUUGGUUGCCUUUCUAUUUAUAGAACAAAGUCAAUGAAAACAUCCAUCCUUUGCACACACACAAAAAUAGUUGAUGGUGAUGUAUCUUGGGAAAGGAUUAUCUUGCAUUUAUGAUUUUUACAAGAGAUAUUUCUUAUAUUUUUCUUUAUUUAUUUUAAUCACAUGGGAUUCAUUAUAGUCGCACCUUAUAAUUAGAUUUUUAGUGGGGAUUUAUUUAUAUACCUAUUUUAUUUAUUGUCUAUAUAUGGCCAUCAUUUUUUGACUUGGAAUUACGAUACACCUCUCAUCAUUUCCCCAACUCCCAUUAAUAAAUUACAUGUAUGGAAAUUGGGCUUCUUUUUUUUAUAUAGUUAUGCAUUUAUGGCCAAUAUGAAUAUAAUGCACCAAUACAAAAAUACAGAAAAUAGAAAUUUAAAGUCAACUUUGCGUGUUCAUUGAUUUUGGAUAUGAUCCAUUUCUCAUAAAUGCUACUGCAAUAUGAGACAAGGCUCAAAUUCAUGUGAUCCGAUUUGAGUCGGUAAAAGCAAUUGGUUGAAAGUAAGAGUUUAGAUAUUCUAAUUUUGAGUUCGACUUUCGAUAUCAAAACGGCUCAUUGUCGAGGAGAGGGGUAUAGCUAAGUGAUUCGUGCCGUGGUCCUCGGCCUGAGGCAACCAUCUUUGCUCAAAUGUGGAAAUUGGUAUAAAUGUAUAUAGCUGACCGCAUAAAUAUAGCGCAAGGUCACUGCAUCUUUGGCUGGACAACUAACCCCCCACCGCACUACUGUGAAGUUAACCAGUAAUCGCAUCACGGCUAUGUGGCGUGGUUAGUGAUUAAUCGCAUAACCAAACUACUAAGAUAAACUCGUCAAUAUGUCGACUUUGAAAUUCUAUUGAUCAAGAUUUCACUUGUUGUAGGAUGAAUGAGUUCGACUGUACAAAAGUUAGUCCGUCAGAACUCAGAUUACUGUUUAACGAAUUUUCCAACGAAGGACGUAGGGAUUUGAGUCCACUUUGGUUGUGCAUUAAUAUCGGAUAUACACAAACACCUCCCCAUCAUUUUGCAUGCAGCCGUGGACCACGAAAUCAACGUCCUCCCCUGUUUUAGAAGCUGACUUUUUAGGGUUACGACAGACUAAUAAUGAGUGUAUAUUCAAGCAAAGUAGACAAAUUUUUCUUGUAGUUGCAGCUCCCAACCAUAUUCGUUAAAGCUUUGGCGGCUAUCGUGGACCUUUCUACUCCCUGCUUAUCCGUCUUGAUCCAAUCAACGCCGUUAAUACUCGCAUUAACUGGGCUACGAGACUGGAAUGAGGAAUACCGGUCAGGCUACGAGACUGGAAUGAGGAAUACCGGCCGGGCUACGAGACUGGAAUGCAGAAUACCGGCCGGGCUACGAGACUGGAAUGCAGAAUACCAGCAAAGUAACUUACGAGUGUCUUUCCGAACUUCAAAAUCUGAUGUCACAUAAUUGGGAUAUUCCAAGGAUUCUGUCAUCAAACGUUAAGAGAACGAAAAGGAAACACGGUAGAUUCAUAGCCGACUCGAAGCAUUCAACCAAUCGACAGAACAUCAUGGAGCUUUUCCGAUGCAUUGAACUUAGAACACAGAAUGUAUGGAGCUUUUCAAGGAGGUUGCAUUGCUACCAGAAUAAGUUAAUUCUCCCAACAUGACGAUUAUGUUCAGUAAAGUUCAUAGUCAAAAGUACUUAGCAAUGUUAAUUUACAAAAAAACAAAGCAUCCCACUUUUUACUUCUAAGUUUGAGGCAUACAGAACCGCAGCAGCUAGAAUCCGCGCAGCAUCAGGAUUUGGCGGCAGUUGCACAUAAGUUAAGUGCGAAGGACCAAGGCCAGCAUCGACACCAACCACCGUUACGCAAAAUCAUCUCCUUAUACAACUCCGGAAGGAAGGCGUAGAACGAGCUGCCCGCCGAACACACUGCAAAAUUGGGAGCACAGAAUCAGACCGAAUCGAGUAGAACUCGGUAGUGUUGGGAUGUGGGUAUCCACCGCACCAUGAGUUCGAACUAUGUACUCAAGGAGAACAUUUCAGAUGUAACGAACCUUUUCACGUAGUAGUAACAGAAAUCUGCAAGGAUGAAAGUCUGCACGAUUUCCGAGAUGAGAACCAUAGACGGCCACAAUCCGUAUCCCAAGGCGACUAGCAAGUGGCCGCGACUAUCUAGAACCUGUUGGAGAAAAGGAAGUGACAAUGCGUUAAACUCGAAUGUGAAAUUACUAGUCGGCCUUCUGAGCUAGGAGCCUGAUAAAAUAUAUUCAGAUCAAUCAACUGAAAAGGAAGAUAGCAGAGUAAAUACCAUUUGGAGAAAAACAUCGGCUAGAAACGCAUGAAUUCUUGACAAGCAAAUACAAAUGAGGUUAAUGAAUUAAGUCUUUUGAGAGAAAGGACAGAUCUUGAAGAAUUUUCAAGUUCAUGCCGAUGAAACGGGGAAAAAUAAGCAUGACUCAAUUAUACAUCAUGACCCGGGUCUGCUAUCAGUUCAUGCUGUUACUAGUCAAGAACAGCAAAAAUACGACAUUCGGAUAAAGUAGCAUGAAACAACCUGGGAAUUCACUUACAUAACUGACAUGAUGACACAAUUAGAGGUAAAAAACCGAAAAAUAACUGUGUUGAGGUAAAAAAGGUGGAUUUGGAUCAAAGUAGUACCUGGAGAACCCAGUGAGCACAGCUCAGAAACCUUGCUAUUCCCAGUGCAAAGACAUAAUGAGCGGUGAAUGGUUCAACAAUCUGAAGAUAAAAACAAAAAGAGUAAGAUUUUAACACUAGCAACACUUUAAAAAGAUCAGUAACAACCAAUCAAAGAUAAACCUUGGUGUUCUGCAUCACUCGCAACUGAGGAAGCACAGAAACAGACUCCAGGUAUACACAGAAACCCCAGAAGAUCCUAUUCACCAGAUUAUGGGAUGUUGAUGGAUGGAUGAGCACGGCUAAAACAGCACAAGGUACCAACUGAUGGAACCCAAAAAAAAAAGAAGACAAAACAAUAUAGAAAAUUAGAUACAAGAUCGACCUAACAGCAGUGUGACUGUAAAGGGAAAAGGAUAAUUUUCUACAAAGCGUGUACUGACCACAUAAUAAAGUGCAAAGUUGUCCUUGUCCUCCAUAUAGCUAGAUUUCAGCUUGAAGCGAAUCAUAUAAAUAACCCACAGUGUAGUUCCUAGCGUAGCUAAAUCAAGUAGAGUAUGUAUAUCAUACUCCAUCACAAAGCUACAGUAAAGUCUAACUGCUAGAAAUAUAGCAGUCAAUUCUUGUGAUUUUAGUGAUAUGCCUGCAAAACACAUGAAUCAUAGUAAAAAGGACAGUGUAAGUUAAGGCUGGCACGAAUAAUUGGCAGUGAAAGGUGGAAAUCUUCAAGAUUUAGACUACCGACAACCCCCCCCCCCGCGCCACCCCCCACCCCCAAAAAACUCAUUUCUUUAUACCGUUACUUGCUUACAUAUAAGAAACGAUAGAAAACCCUUCAAUGAACAGUCAUAGAACUUGGAACCUCAGAACAUGACAUCAGAAGGCAGAUAAAACCUCAUUAAACUAGAAAGAUGUCACAACCAAGAGUAGACGAGAACCAAUGCCCACCAAUGAGAGUAGUCUCCCCAUUGCCCAGACACCUUUCCAUCAGAUAUAGUUUGUGAACAAGGCUAAUUCAUUGUUCAUGCUAGUCAGACUAGAAAUCUAAAAACUUUUAAACUCAGACUUGCCACACAACACAAAGCUCUCACCAAAUCCAUAGACUAAAAUUUCUAAUCAAUGAGCCAAGAUAAAUACUUUUUACCAAAUUGGUUUCUACCCUAAUCCAAAUACGCAAUGUACCUUUCACAACUUUCCACAGAUAUCAUCAACAGACCAAACAUUCAACAGAGAGACCUAGGAUCCUACUAGCUUCGAUCCUUAGAUAACUAAAUCUCAACCCUUCUCCUCAAAUCAAUAUGAAAAAACAAUGAAACCAAUCUCCCUACAACAGCAUCUCAAAAUGCAAAAAAAAAUCACCUUUAUCCAGAAAAAAAACCCUAGAAACCAAAAAUAGAGGGGAAACAAAAGUGAUACCGGCACAAGUCUUCUCCUUCAUGAGCUUGUAUAUGAGAACCAUGAUUCCAAUCGAGUGUACGGCCUCCGCGGCGACGAAGAGGUUGUCGUGGUCGUUGACGAUGAAGCGGAGGAGGACCAGAGCCGCCAUCCCGGCUACGACAGCGAGAAACCCCUUGACCUUGGGCGGCUGCCGCCGCACCCACGUCGUCACCAUGUGGAUCGGUCUCUUCGGCGGCCUCAUGGAAAUUUUUCUUCCGGAUCGAAUUUGAAAGCUUGAGCUCGUUGGAAGGGGCGGAAUUAGGGAUUUUGGUUUUGCUCUGGAAAUUUAGGAUUCGUCCUUGAAGAAUUUUGGAGGGUUUCGUUUCUUAUUUAUUUUUUUCGUUGUUUGCCCUUUUGGAGUUUGAAUAGGAUAUGUAUACCUAUUAAACCCAAUGUAAUCGAAACCGAACUGGAUUGAUCGCAAACCGGCUAUCAUGCUGGUUCGAUUAAAUUAUGAUAUAGUAAUAAUUUAAAGUUUAAACAUCAUUUAACUUUGAUUUAAAUAAUUAAGUCGUAAUUCUCGACUCUCUUGGUUUCGAAUUUUGGUAUUGAUAUGGAAGAAGUUUAUGGAUUUAUCGACAUUUAUUUUGUGGAAUUUUGGUAAUUUGAUAGGAUAGUGUUAGCUUGUUAGGUAAAGGUAGGAAUGAUUGGUGGGUUGAUGGAAAACAAGUGACCAAAUAAUACACAAAUCACAAUGUUAACAACUUCAAUAGAACAUAAGUACAAGAAUAUUAUGACAAUUUUAUUGAUAACUUUUGACGGGAUUUGAUAUCUAUAUCGAGUUUGAAACGACAUCUUAGAUUGCAAAUUGAUUUUGGAUUAGUUUAUUUUUUAAUUAUUGUGUCCGAGAGUUCAAAUUUAUUUAUAUAAGAAUGGAUAGAGAAACAUUUUGUCAUAAUUAAAAGACAAAGUAAAUUCUCCAACNNNNNNNNNNNNNNNNNNNNNNNNNNNNNNNNNNNNNNNNNNNNNNNCCACAAUUUCUAACCUCCUCCAUCCCAUCAAUUGAUUAGCAAUUUGUAGUAAUCAUUUCUACAAACAAACACAAUAAAAAUGAACUAAUCAAAAUCAUUAAAUAUUAUUUAUCUUCAAUUUAUUUUCUAUUCAUAAAUGUAUUUCUUAAAAAUUGUAGCAACUUGUUUAUGUAGCAUUGCUAAUUGACUUGUUAAAUUAGCAAGCUUACUAAUUUAAAAAACACAUCUACAUCCUUAACAAUUACUAAAAAAAGGUCACAUCACAUCCACAUUACUUAACAAUCGUUAAAAUAAUAGGGAUGAAAACCUAUUAUUUUCAUAGGAUGAAGCCACUUGUAAAAUCAGAGGCAUAGGUGUAAUGUAAUCACAACCAUCAUAAACAGAGGUCCACCAACUACUCAAAGCUUUUCAACAACAAACUUCAUCCACAAAAGUCAAAGAUACACACCUUCAUAAGAGAAGUACAAGUACACCUAACCCAAAUAAAGAGCUUUGUCGAAUCGGUUAGUUGGGCGUAGAGAUAUCACUAAUAUGUACAAUCUUUAGGGUUACGGUUUGUCAAUAUGCAAAACCCAUGUUGGAAGGUGAAUUAACUAAAAAGAACAUCUUGUUUAAAGCGGAUGCGCAAGUGGUCGUCAACAUAAUUAGGAGAAAUGAGGAGGUCGUUUGAUUUUUGUAUUUGGAGAGGAAUUUGGAAAGAAAGUAAUAGGGCCAAAUGAUUUGAACAAAAUCUUUUAUUUGAUUUUUAAAAAUGAUGGAGAUUUAAGAUCACCAUAUGUAGUCCCAUGGUGAUUUAGAGAGUAAUUUAAAAUUACCAUGAACUUGGUGUGAUUUGAAGAUUUCAAGUGUGAUUUGUACACAAAAUAACAUAUUAACCAAAUUAAAACACACUAAUUACAGCAAUACCACUAAAAGUAUGAAGAAUUGAGAAGACUAAUUUUAGAACUAGAGGGCAAUCUAGUUUUUUUAAAAUAAGUUAAUUUAACUAUUGGUGUUUAAAAUGUUAGAAUCACUCUCAAUUUUAGAAAACAAACAAGAUAUUUAUGAAAUCACUAGCUGUUUGAAAUCACUAGUGAUUUCAAAUCACCUUCCAAAUCUCAAAUUCAAACGACCUCGAGGUGAUGGAUCGAAUGGAUUUUGGCGAUAUUGUACGAGAAUGUAAGACCCUUUGUUUAUCUGAACCGAUUUUAUGAUUAACUUUGUGAGGAAGGAUAGUAACAAGGUUGCGGACGUGCUUGUACAACAAUCUUAGUUAGCAGGGUCACCCACUGUUGGGGAGAUUCCUCCACACUUUCUACUUAAUUUCUUGAACGAUGUUUUGAAUGAGCUAUACGAUUAAUAUAUGAGAUCACCUUUUGUUUAAGAAAAAAACUAAAAAAAACAUAUUCAACUACAUAAUAAGAUGAAUCAGACGACCGGAGUUACAAAACCUAGGAGUCGGGCUAAUCAGAUGUUCAUAACUCAUAAGCUUCAAAUAUGCCAUAAGAUCCGAUCUCCUCAAAUUACAAGGUAAAUAUAUUUCACCUUUAAAGUUUCCAAAAUCCAUGAAAUCUCCUCCUCAUGCGUUCUUAGGGUUAGAGUUCAACGAUCCAAGAAAUGAGAUCUAUGCAACUAGAAGGUGAGUUGAUGUGUUGGCAGGAGGUUCCAAAAUCCACAGAAGCCUUCUCGAUUGGUCAUGACUCAACCUGAAAACCAACCGAACUACUCUGAACAAACAUGAUAAGAAACCAAUCCAAAGCAUAACUUAUUGUGUCCAUUUCACACACACAAGAAUUCCUUAGUGACGAUAAAGAGGAGGCAAAGUCUAGAUAGCCAACAGAUGACUCCCUCUGGAAAACCUUGUAGAUUUAUUCAAACAUCAACAAAAUAGAUAUAAGGCUUUGGUUGAUGGGUGCAAAACUACAGAUACAAAAAGAAAUGGUGUUCUCCAAAUGUGUCAUCAAAGAUGAGGUUUAAUGGAGGCUGACAGAUCUUCUCAUUCAGCUUUGUUGUAGUCUUUGGUCCCGAAGUUCUUGCACCAAAGCUGCGACGGGAUUGGACGAACUGGCUGAUGAGGCCGUUGCUGCAACAAAAAGGAAUAACAGCGAUGUCACCAUAUGGUUAAUCGUUAAAGCUUUAGACAUGAAAUGGGUGGAGAUGGCACAUCCUGGAAUCAACAGUCCGUUUAUUGAUAAAACAGUGUUAGAACACUGCAAUUUAGACUACAGCGUGGCCUCAGGUGUGUCGCCCCAGGGUGCUAGACUAUGAAAGGAUGGGCCUAACUCGAUAACUUAACUAGACUAGAUGGGGGUAAGUAGACUGGAAUUGAUGAGAUUGCCAUAUCAGCUGCAGCCUAUACCUGAGGUCAGAUGUUUUGCCAAAGAAGAGUUGUAUUUGUAACCAAUCAAAGACCAAGCAACCAAGGCAAGAGAACAAGAAUGAAAAACACAACGAAGCGUUUCCAACCAUGAGUAUUUCUGUACAGAAGUUGAUGGACCCAAAAUAUGCUUCAUAUGAACGCCUAAUUGAACCAGAAGAAAGACAACCAGUGAAUAGCAUUGUAGGUCCGAUCGAGUAUUCCUUUUUUCUAACAGGACUAGCACCAAAUAUUGUGUAAGACCUUUCCUCUAAUCUACGCUAUCCAUACACCAUAAAAACCAAGUCUAGAUUCUCAUCAUAGUUUUCUUAGAACAACAUAAGGAUAGGAUAGGACUGGUGUUCUAACUUCUAAGCACAAGAAGGACAUCUAGAUACUUCAGUAGGAAACUUUACUUGGAAAUGAGGCGGUAAAGCAAUGGUAUUCAUUUAAAGUACGAAGCAUACGAUGAACAAACAGGCAAAGCAAGAUCAAACUCAAUCCCACCCACAACUUAACUGUAUGAAGCCGGUUAUAGCCAGAAAACGUUGGUUCAUACCAAUCUAAACUCUCAAAAUUACCAAGGAACUAAAAAAGAUUGCUGAUUAACGAAAAUAUGAGGUAACAUUGUCACAUUACAAUGCUAUCCGCCAACCAUUAAUUAAGAGAGGAAGCCAAUGCAAAAUCGAAUACAGUUCCACGACCUAACCAUGUAUCACUCUAGUUUUAAAAAAAUUAAACAUGGUUAGAGAUGAUUUUUAAGAGCCAAGGAAUGCUCGUCGUUCUACCAGUGUGCCACUGACUGAACGCCACUACCGAGAUCAGUACACUUAAUCCACAUGGUCGGCUCCAUCCAAUUACAGAUUAUACACAAUAUCAAAUGCAAUAAUCUAGCUCAAAUUAGGGUUUCGUCCAUGAUCGAGAGAGGGGGGGGGGGGGGGGGGGGGCCAUAAAGACACGAGCACACACACACAAGUUUGAAAAAAAAACUUAAUCUCCCCAUUUCCACUAACAUUCACCAGCAACAAUUAUGGAGAAACUACAUACUUCGAGCUCGGCGGAUUUCAUGGCGAUGGGGAUACAGACGAGGAAGACACCGACCAUGGCGAUGGCAGUGUUACGGCGCCAGUGCUUAGGGCGGCAAUUAGGUCCACCGGUCAUACUCCACACCUUCCCCCUGAAAUCUCCAUGGGAGCCUUCGGCCCCGUGUCCAUGCUCGCCUCCUCCGCCCAUCGUUGGUCUCCGAUUCCGAUGAUUCACUCUCUCGAUUCGUAAUCUGCUCUCCGUUGGGUGUUCAGAGUUCCGACUCGAAAUGGGCACAGCGACAAUUUGGAACCUUAUUUCGGUCUGGAUUUUGUUUCUCAUUCUCUCUAUUUCGGGCUGACGCGGGCUUUCAUUCUUCGGCCUGCUACAAAGUUUUGGGCCCAAACUGCUUUUUAUUCGGCUCGCUAUCAAGUUUUUUUAAUAUACUGACUUUUUGGACGAUAAGAAGGUUGUUAAGGGAGGAGUGAUAAUCAUAUUUAAUUAUUUCGGAUCGUGAUUGAAAGAUCACUGUGGCCCCGCGCCUUAAGAUUAACGUUGAUGGGCAGUUUCGGCCCCAACUGGUGAUGCGGUAGGGUUCGUUGUUCGGUAUGCAGGUGGAGCGGUGUUACAAGGUGUGGGGCAGACAUAUUCAAGAGUCUUUAACCUCUGUGUUUUGGAACUCCUGACUGUGUGUGAUGCCUGUACAGUAUUUGGAUGAUGGAUAUUGAAGGCAAUGUGGAGUUCCUACACUCCUCGAUUUUCAGUGAAGCUCUCGGUGUCUCUCUAGCGGUGUUAUCAUUGUGAAGAUCCUUGCAUAUUUGCAAGCUCAUCCUUUUCUUCAAAUGCAGGUCAUCUGACAAGCUACUAAUGGGGCUGCCCAUUCAGUGACACAACGAGCUCUUUUAUGUCUCUCAGACAGUAUGGAGAUUGAUCUCACUGUCUAGGUCAAUUUUUAAAUUUAUUGUGUUGUUUAUUGUCUGGAUCUCCUCCUCCUGAGACUAUUUUUGCAAAAAAAAGUGAUGAUUAUAUUCGUUAGUGAUUUUUAUUGUAGAAAAAGGGUUACGUUUAUAGAAAAAUUGUGAGUUGGCAGCUAGCAUUCAUCCAUCAAAAUGAUAGAGUGGAAGAUGGAGAAACAAAACUUAUAAUUUAGUGGAAUUUUGUGUAUCAAAUUUAAUUUAAUGAUGGGUGUGAUUUAAAAUGAUUGUUUAGUAGUAUCAUGUAUAUUUUAACUCUUGAAAUUUAAACAAACACAAAUAUACACCAUUAGACAUUAUUAUGUAUAACCUGUCUAGUUACACAUAAAAAAAGUAUGAUUUGUCUAGUUCUAAUAGUAUAAUUUUCAGUUUUGUGCUAGUAAUCCGAAGAUUUUAAAUUCAAAUCUAACCACUUGACAAAUGAAAUUCACGACCAGAAAAUAUUCGCUACUAGAAUUAAUGACCUACAAGUUAUGAAAGUAACUCAGACACCAUUUCCGAGUCACUAUCACAGCACGCAGGGGUUUAGGGUUUUGUAAAAAAUAAUUGAUCAACUAACUAACCAACACUCAUCGGUUAUUAACCUAACCAACCGACUUCUCUUAUAGUAUCAAAUGCACUGAAAAUCUAAAAUGGGCAAAACGCAAGCUCUCAAGACCGUUUUGAUCGCACUCCUAAAACCCUAGCUCUCAUGGACUUCCCCAAAACCCUUCUCCCUCAUAAAAUCAAAACUACAAACCAGGGAAAAAAAAAGUUCUCCUCCCGCCAUCUCCGGAUUCAGCGAACCAUCGUCAUCAAUGGCUGGUUCGUCAGUGAAGAAAUCAGAGAAGCAGAAGAAUAAGCGGAAGCUAGUAUCCACUUCUGAUAAAAAAGACAGACCUUCGAAGUCAGCACGUACUGAUGACUCCAAGCAUAGGAAGGUGAGACAUGACGAAGUUCCGGAGGAAGCUGUAAAUUCAAAGAGCGAUGAAUUGGGAUCAAGUUUUGAGCUAAGGGGCCGGGCGUGGAGGAACCUGGACUUGAUUCUACUGCUCGAGAAGAACGGAGUUGAUAUUUCGAAGUCAGUAUACAUUAAUUUUUUCUAUCUGUUUUGUUGUUGAAUUGAAUUGAUCGAGUUUGGAUUAAUAGGGGGAAUGUCAAUGCAGGAAGGUUGAAGUUGCUUAUGAUUUCGUGAAGUGGAGAGGAAAAGGAGGAGCUGACGAUGAUGACGAAGAAGAAAUUGAAACGGUUAAAGUAGCUAGGCUUGUAGUUUUCCUUAACGAUUGGGUGCAAACGCAGCUGAUAUCUACUCACAAGAAGCUCGAAGCAAGAGAGGCGUGUCUGGACUAUAGAUGUUGGGCGAUUUUAAAGUUCUGUUUGGAGGAGUCGUUGAGGUCGCAGGCUUCGUUGACUUUCCAUCGGAAUCUUAUACGAGCUUUAGGAUGCGUUGCGGGGAACAUGUGCAAUAGUUCAGCAGAAUUGUCUCGUUCAGGCAACGAUGAACUUGAGUUUAGGACGGUUGUUUUCGAUUGUGUUUCUCAUAUGUUUGGCAGCCAUUGUGGGUUGUCAAAUGAGAAUCUAGCCCUCUGGGUUUCGACUGUCCAGAUAGUCGCUGGACUUGUGAAACAAAUUUGUGGUGAGAAGGUUGGUUGUGGCGAUUUGGAUAUUGUGGCACUGAAGUUUUCUAGCUUGGUGCUUGAUGCUUUUGCCAAUUUUUUGAAGGCUCAUCCUACUCGAAAGAAUGGAUUCCGGGAUUUUGUGAAUGAAAUUCUGGAUCCACUUUUGAGCUUGUUGGGUGUAUUACACAAUAAGUUAGAUGGAGAGAACCCAGGCGUUACAAGAAAGUUACUGUGUGCAGUUGAGGAAAUUUUAGCUAAUGGUAUAUUUCAUCAGACUCAUAUUGACGAGUUUCUCUCCUUACAGAGUACUAGGAAGUAUGCAUCAGCUGAUGGUGGUGACCAGAAGGAGCUGAGAACGGAGCCUAUAAGUUAUCACAGGCACUUCUUUGAGAAGUUGGAGGAGGUUAUGGCUGCAAAGGAAGAGUCUUCCUCGAAUAGCUUGGGACAACUGUUCCACAUACUUGUUGAUCGAGUGAAAAAGAAAAAGACAGCUCAACCCCUUUAUGGUGAUGCAAAGAAGAACGAGAAAACCGAAAGCUCAAAACACAUUCCUCUUACUGUUUCUGAGACAGUUCCUAACUGUUUAAAUGCAGAGAAAAGAAAAUCAAUUUUUGACUUCUUCGUGCAGAUUAUGGAACCGCUUUUAUGUAAGAUGAAUGUCUACCUUGAAGCUAAGUUGGAACUAGGUCCUAUGUUAUUAGAUGUUCAUCGUACAAUGAAGUCCAUUAAUGUCUUACUAGGAAGCUUUUUGAAGGAAAAGUUUUAUAUGAAGGCAGAAGAUACUACUGGAGGAGCCUGUCUUAAUUUCUUAAAGCAGGUGUAUGACACUAUAUUAUCAUUAGCCACCGGUAUUCUUAGGUUUUUCAUCCAUGAUGUGGAUGCUAAGGAGAAAACCUUCAAUUUACUAGCACGGGAGCUACUUAUUGCUGUCGGAUACCUUUUGGAGAUUGAAUAUGAAGUCACCAAUAAUGACUUAACGAGCUUAUGGCACAUGAUACUUUCGUACUUUGCUGUUGGCUGUGAAUGUAAGAGUGCACCUGAUCAAGAGUCGUUCACCUUCCUAGGUGUAAGACUUGGAUGUCAGAUAUUAAAUAUCUAUAGUGAACUGCGGCAGGUUAGUGGAAAUUCACAACUCUAAUUUAACCAUCUAUUAGUACACUGUUUCAGGGGCUGAGGUGUAUAUAGUAAUGUUUGUUAUUCAGUUUGCUUAUUUUGUGUCUUCUUGUUCUUUGUGUUUCACUUUAUUACUGAAACAAUUGCAACUAACUUAAUGUUAUCUAUGUCGAAUUGUGUAGGUGACAAGUGCAAUAUCUACCUUCUGUACAGCUAUCAGGCUCGUGGUAACAUAUGAGAACGACGCUACUGCGAAUCAAAAGGAUCACAUAAAAUUUUCCUCCUCAUGGUUUCCCCAAAAUACCUUUGGGAAAACUCUGGACCUUCUUUUAUCCUCGCAAGCUUUUAGACUUGCCAUGCAUAAUGCUAUAAAAUGCCUUCCAGAAGGACAGGCAAGUGACUGUGUGCAAAAGUUAUGUGUAGAGGUGUCUCAGUCCAUGCAAUGGAUAAAAGAUAGUGCUUCCGUGGAAGAUCAUGUAAAGGGUAAUAAAGCGAGUAAAAGAAGUCAUAGAACACUUUAUUUUGAUCUUCAAGAGGAAAUCUUUGGUAGAUUGUCCGAAGUUUACACGGUGGUUCUAGAAUCUCUAACUGUCACUGCUGGCAACUGUACCUUAGUUGAGCGAUGUCUAAAGGACUUGGUGGCUACAAUAAGUCCCUGCAUGAGUACCCUGGUUGGGCUAGAACCAGAUAGUGUCAACCAGUUCAUUCAUUCCGUUACUGGAAGAGGAAGAUACAGGAUUAAGAAUGGCACUUUUAAAUGUGGUCAUUCUGGCCAUUGGGUCAUUCUAUUUUUCCUUCACCUGCACAUGUCGUGUAGAAGCUUGUAUAGGCAGGUACUUAGCCUGCUGCCUCCACGUUUGUCAAGAAAGAUGUCAGAAGCAGUUGGUGAUUCACUUACUGCCUACUCUGGCAAAGACUGGAUGGACAGGACGGAAUGGACAGUUGAGGGGUAUUUUUCCUUGAUUCUUCAACCCUCAGCUUCUCUUCUCAGUGUUAUACAGUCCACUUCUGAUUUUUGUUCCAGAACGAGUACUGCUGACUUCUCCCCCCUUCUGUAUACAUAUCAUGCUGCUGCAUUUCAGAGGCUUCAUGAUUUGAAUAGGCAGAUAAAGUCUCUAGAAUACAUCCUUGACGGCAAUGAUAAGACUGUAAAGAACAAGUUGGUUGAUGACUCAGACGCAUCUUUAUAUCGUAAACGGAGUAGAAAAUUAGGUAAACGCAUCUCUGUCUUGAAGCAGGAGGCAACGGAUCUUACCGAGUAUUCAAUGAGCUGCCUCUCACUAGUGGUUGAUGGUCAACUCUCAUAUGAUCUUUCUAGUGAAUGGAAUUGGAGCGUUUGUUCUAUUCAGAAGACCUCAUUACCUAUUGCAUUUUGGUGGCUGGUUUGCAGAAAUAUCGAUGUAUGGGCUAUACAUGCUAGUAAGAAGAUGUUGAAAACUUUUCUCUCAAAUCUGAUCAGCACUUCACUUCCAUAUAUGGGAAAACAGCAUGGAAAUGAAGCUCAUUCGCUAAAUACAAUCUCUCUAGGACACAUUUCAUCAGAGCUUCUCAUGGACAGUAACUUAUACGAACACAAAGUAAGAUCUGUUACGAGUGCCGGAUUUCUCUUCCUUUAUGCAUGAUUUCUCACUUUCUGACACACAAGCACCGAUGAAGGGCUGGUGCGAUUUAUAGGUCUAUACUGGUUAAGAAACAAAAUCUUCUGGUUGACAUAAUUUUUGUUGUAUGAAUUUUACGGGUGAAUGCACUUCUCUUAUACAGUUAUACUUCCCGUUUUGCUAGUUUGUUUGCAGGCUUUUCACCUCAAGAUUUUUGCGAUUGUUGGAAGACUCUGUCGUGUCAUUAUCUGGUGACUUAAUGUUCAUGGAUGAGGAAAUUUUGAGUUCUUGCAUUGAUUGGCCAAAGGUGCUAAAAGAACUUGGCAACUGGCCAGCUGUUGUCUCAAAGAGCAAACUGUUUGGAGACAAGUAUUCUUCUGACGAGGAAAAAGUGUUCAAGGACGAAUGUCCCUAUUCAGUUGUGUUGAACAGUACAGCCUGCCAGAAGUUACUAAACCUUUUAUGUUGGCUGCCAAAAGGAUGGAUGAAUUCAAAGUCGUUCUCCCUUUCUAUAACUUAUGUACUCAACUUAGAAAGGUAAACAGUCUCUCAUCUGCCUUCUUUUGUCCUGCAUUCACAUAAUGUUCCUAGCUGCUCGCAAGGAACAUAUUUUGCCUCCGUAUGAAGAAAUAUAAUAAUCCAGAAGGGAAAAGGAAUACUAGCAGGUCUAGUUCAUUUGGGAAGCUAUAUACAUAUGAAUCUAUCUGAUUUCUGCUUUCGGGCUCCCCUUUUGCUGUUUCAAUGUUUUAUUUAUACAAAUAGAGUCUGUUUUUAUUUGUUAUAUCAUCUUGAUAAUAAGGUGUAGUCUUUUUUUUUUGGCUGGGAAAUGUUGAUUUUUGUUGCUCUAUAGAGUACCUGAACUUUUAAAAAAUGAUGGAUACUGUUUUGCAGGGUUUUAAUUGGCAAAUUGUUAACCUGCCAUAGAAACUGGUCAUAUAAGCAGCAAGAACUCUUAAAACUGCUCCUGUGCUGCCGAAGGUCCUUGAAAUACACAGUUAUGGCAUUUUGCGAGGAGAAUAUUGGUAGUCGAUCAUCACAUAUGCCUGUGUUUUCCGAGGACAUAUAUGCUAUUCUAUGGCUUCUCAAGUCAGUAUCUGCUGUAGCUGGGCUUCAAGAAAAUUUGCCACAAGAUUAUAUUGAUGAAGUUAGAGAUAAAAUUUUCUCUAUGACGGAUCACACUUCAUACAUAUUCUUGACCUUAAGCAAAUAUCACUCCUUUUGUGCAUUCAGCACUCUACUUGAAGGGAAAGCUAGCAAAGAGAACGUUUGCUCUACUGAUGAUCAGGAAAGUAUUGAUUCAGAUGAAUCUAGUCCGUGCUCUGAAGAAGUGGUAGCCUCGAAAAGCUUUCGCAUUACUGCAGAGAGUUUAAAGAAAGAGUCAGAGGGCUUUCUUAAUUCCUUAAAUGUUCUCCUUUCCAAUGACUGUUCGGGGGAUGGUGUUAGUGCUGCGAAUCUCCAGAAACUAUCCUCUGCGGUUUCUUGCUUCAGCGGUUUCUUGUGGGGCCUCGCCUCUGUCUAUAAUGAUGCUCACAUAAUAGAUAAUGAGCUUCAGAAGAAGUUUUUGCUUUCCAAACCUGACCUUGUUGCUACACUCAAUUCCUGUGUAAGUGCAUUCUCUGAUUUUGUUAGGGCAUGCUUGUUCAUGUUUCCGGCUGAGGAUAGACAUCAACCUGAGAGUACAUCUGAUUCUCCUGAUUACCGUAAGCCUGAUGGAAGCGGUGGUUUGUUGGAUGCAUGGAGACUCGCCUCUAAAACCUCCGUAAAGACCGGAAUUUCGUGCUCCAAGCAGCAGAAUUCACUUUCCGAAGAUGAUUCUUUUCAGAUAUCACCGGUAAAGUACCCCUUGCAGAGUCUUAUUGAAGGCAAACAUCCGGAAGCUGGAAACUUAAUCAGACAGCUUUUACUUGCUUCUUCAGCCAUUUUGAAGCUCAAUUUGCUAAUGAAAUGUACACCCUGCUCGGCGUUGGUUUCAAGUUCUAUCAGUGUAUCUGAGUCAUUGCUGCUGAAGUUCAUCGACACCCAUGAAGUGUCAAAACCGCACCUUAUUAUUUGGUUAGAUGGAGUUCUGAAGUAUCUAGAAGAACUUGGCAGUCAGGUUUGUACUAUGUCGACAAGGGAUCCUUAUACCAGGCUUGUAGAGUUGCACUUAAGGGCUCUAGGAAAGUGCAUCUCUUUACAAGGGAAAGAAGCCAAUCUUGCUGCCCAUGAUUCUGAAACGAGUUCUAAAAUCAUGCUGGGACAUUCAGGAUCUCUUGAAGUAUCACAAAGCUACGGUCCACGCUACUUGGAUGAACUCAAAUCAAGAUUGAGAUUGUCUUUUAAAGUGCUUGUAAGAAAGUCAUCAGAGUGGCACUUGCGGUCUGCAGUACAGACUGUAGAGAAGGCACUGGUAGGAGUCCACGAACGUUAUUCGGCAAUCUAUCAAAUAACGCUGGGAGGUCCAGACGGCGGAAAGGUUUGCCCCACUGUUGCUGCCGGCAUAGAUUCCUUGGAUCUCAUUCUCGAAUAUGUUUCAGGUAUCACACGUUGACUAGAUAUAGCCAUGUCUCAUCUGAAAGUUUCUUGAAUUUGCACUGAAUUUGCACCUAUGGAAUAUAACUACACCCUGCCAUCGUUCUUUGAUGCCCUUAUCUCUUUCAUAGCAUGGAGAUCUUUUCUAUACGCUUAAUACUUACGUCGGUGCUCUUCUGCAGGCCGCAAACCGAUGAAUGUGGUUAAGAAACACAUUCAAAGCCUACUUUCUGCAUUAUUCAACAUUAUCUUACACCUGCAAGGUCCCUUAAUUUUCAACAGAAGAUCAAAUUCUGGUAGAGAUGGUGUUUUUCCGGAUCCGGGGGCAGUUAUUCUCAUGUCUGCUGAAGUACUCACAAGGGUGUCCGCGAAGUGUACUCUGUUCCAUUUAGAAUCCUCGCAUGUAGCGCAAUCAUUACACGUACCUGCUGCACUGUUUGAAGACUUCAGUAAGCUCAUGGAUCCUUCCAUUGUAGAUCGACGAUUCUCUAUCAAUUUAUAUGCUGCGUGUUGCCGAUUGUUGUCGACUGUUGUAAAGUAUCAUAAAAGGUAAGUUUUCUUUUUUUUUUCCUUAAACAUCUUGCUGCGAUUAUCUAGAAAGAUGUGAUGGAAAUGACUGUUCUUCCAUUCUAGCGAGUCGGAAUGUAGCGUGGCCCUCCUCCAAGAGUCUUCCUCUGUGCUGCUACACUCUUUGGAAACGGUCAAUACUGAUUCAGACGUUGGCAGAGGUUACUUCUCAUGGAACACUGAUGAGGCAGUGAAAUGCGCCUGCUUUUUUCGAAGGAUCUAUGAAGAGGUAUGCACUGAAAAUGCUUAUCUUCAAUUCAUUCACUUUCCUGCAUUUCGAAUUAUGGCUAACCCAUUUUCCUCUUCUCCGUCUUCUGUUUCCAGCUACGACAGCAGAGAGAUGUUUUCGGGAAGUACUGUUCGAAGUUCUUAUACAGUUACAUAUGGGUUUAUUCGGGCAACGGUCCUCGUAAAGCUGGCAUCAAAAGGUUUUGUUAACCACCUUAUUUCAAUAGAAAGAGGAACAAUCAUUCAGAUACAACACUGACAAGGAAGCGCUUUUCAUAUCCUCCUAUUAACAGGGAACUAGACGAAGCCCUUAAACCUGGCGUUUACGCGCUGAUCGAUGCUUGUUCUGUUGAAGAUCUCCAAAACCUGCACAAUGCAUUUGGAGGUAAGGAAACUUCUAAUCCACUUUCGAAAAGACACAACAGAAGUUCUGUAGAAACGUUCUUAAUUCUGAUACUGUUUUACUAUUGCAGAGGGUCCUUGCAGAAACACAUUAGCAGCUCUGCAACACGACUACAAACUGAACUUCCAGUAUGGAGGAAAAGUCUGAUUUUCGGAGGAGAAUGGUUUUUAUGGUUUUCUUAUGGUAAGACUUCCUCCUGUCCUGGAAAACAAGCUCUCCUAGUUGCUGCAGAUUGGUCUGGUGGUAUGGACUUUAGUAUCAACAUGUCCAAAUCGCGGACAACAGCUGCAACAAGAGAGAGCUGGUGAUGUUGGCUUUCAUGGUUCAAACUAGGUUCGCAUCUACUCAGGUUCAGAUAUCUGGCUGGUGAGUAGCAUCCAGACUCAAAAUCCUUUUCAUUAUCUCCCCACAAUUUUGCGCUGAUUCCAUGAUCUCUCCCUUCGAAUUCCCAGUGUAACCAUCCUAUUGCCCUACACCCUAACUCUUGGUUCCCUAUUUUCUCGUUGUCAAUGAAUAUCAUAUAUCGUUAGCUUGUGAUCAUAUCUACAAUUAAUGAAACACCUAGCCUUAGAAAGGUUUGCUUACUGAUAAGUGAUAACACAGGUGAAAUCAUCUAAUUGCAUAACUGAAUGAAUGAGAGAACAUUAACUUGGUUGCAGAAGGUUGUACUAGAGUUAUCGUUCAUCCUAGUUGAACCUUGAGUCCUGACCAUUUGGUUUGGGUUUCUUUUUGUUAUCAUUUGGAGUUGGGGAAUCAAAGAGGUUUGUUUGUGAAGUUAUGUGGUUAGGCUAUGAUGAAAGGGAGUUGGUGAAGUAGCUAAUUGAUAUCAGUUGAAAAAGAUUUUGCCAUGAUUCAUUCAACAAGUUCCUUUGAUUUCACUUUAUAUAGAGUUUUUACCUACUCUAACGAUGGCAUAUAGUACAAUGAUGUGUUGAUUGAUUAAUUAGAAAAUCUUGAUAAUAUGUGAAAUUUUCAUAGAUUUUGAGGUUGGAUGGUAUAUAUUUAGUCUUUUUAUUUUGAUUUUUAUUUUUAACGCCUUGAACCAUCUUAAAUUCAUGUGAAAUUAGAGAAAUGAAAAGUAUGUUUCUAAAAAUUACGCCUAAACAUCUUGUGAUGACUCGAUUACCGCAAAUAGCGUUAGACAACAAUGCAACUUAUACUAUAAUACUAUAUAAAGCACGAAGAAAGCUAUAUUGUUGUCUGUUUCGUGUUAAGUUUUUACGCUUAUAAAAAAGCAUUCGGUUUCUUUCACCAUCUUUAUAAAGAUAACCGAAUUCCCUUUUACAAGUUAGUUUAUCUAUCUACAUUCCACAAUUCAUUGAACAUAUUUUAGACUAAAAAUGUAAGCUUUUGUUCAAAAAUCGUGUAGGAUCUUAGACUUUUUCACUCACAAUUUUCUUCAAUAUAUUUAUUUAAAUGAAAUUCAUCAAAAAAGAAAAUUAUUUAAAAUGAAAAAAGUAGAUUAAAACCACCGGAAAACGCGUAGAGUAAAUUAAAAUAAUUGAUUUUCACCCAAAAACAGGCACAUGUUUCUUUGUGCAAAAUGAGUGUUCCCACCCCCACCGUCCAACCGGCAAAAAUUUAGUCGCAGAAGUUUUUUAACUUGAAGUUCUGCCGGAGCCAAUCACCACUAACCACGUCAGUUAGUAGGGAAUACGAAGUUGUGAAACAUACUUUCGUAUGCUUCUGGCUCGUAGGGAUAGUUUUGGUAUGGUAAUAAAAAUGUCGUGCAGGUUUUUUUAUGUUGUCCUUUAAAAAAGGAGAGAUGCAAAUUGAGUCAGAUUUAAUUAAUAAACAAAUAUAAAUGUUUUCUCUCAUAUUUUAUUAAUUCUAACCAUUAAACUCACUUAAAUAGUUUAUUUUAAAUUUAAUUUCACUAAUUUUUGCACUAAACUGUUUGUUAUUCAAAAACGAAUCUAAUGAGAUUAGUCUUGAUGAUUUUGAAAGUAAAAAAUAAAUCAACAAUUUUAUACUUUGUAUUCAUUCAAGAGUUUGUAUUUGUAAAUACAAAAGUUCGUGUUAUAUACGAACGUUAGUUCGUGUUAUACCAAUGGCCGAAGCUUUCAGCAGUGAAAUUUAUCCCCGUCCAACCAUUGCUCUGUGUUUAAAGUCUCUAAUCUUCAGCAGGUAAAUUAUUGGCAAGUGAGUUAUUAAAGUUAAGUCCGGUCACAAAUUGUUGAUUUUGAUCCUAUGAGUUAGGUUGGACCAGCCAAUCUUUGGUGACUCCACGUCUAACUCAAGCCGAUUAAUAACGCGAAACGUUACAAAAAUAGCAAUUCUUUAUGAUUCGAUUGGUAAUAAAAUUUACCAAACUAAAUGUUACAAUAAUUUAUAACAAAUCUAAUAUAUAACCCGAAUAGUCCAACCCGCAAUUCUAACAACCCCUCUAUAAAUAUUUAGAUUGAAAAUUUGAUUCCUUUCAAGUUCCAUCUGCACAGAUCCAAUUGCUGAAUCAUUUACUCAAAUUACUUUUUUUUUAUUUUCAAUUGUUUAAUUUCAAAUUGCAGAAAGUGAAAAAGAAUAAUAUCAAGCUUUAGCCUUUAUGGGGGAACAUACCAUAAAUUUGUGGGGUGAUUGAUUAUGAAAUUAUUUAAAUUAUUAUUUGGAUGUCUUGGUCAAGCGUAUGGACCAAUACUGGAUUAAUUUUAUUUAAACAAGGAAAAUGCCAAAAAAGGAACAUCAAUGGUUCAGAAUCAGCCAGCUGGAGGGGGGUUCAUUGGUUCAAUUGGUCUAACGGUCACUAAAAUUUUGAGUAUGUUUGGUUUUCGUCAUUAAUUAUGUUAUUAUUGUUCAUAAGAGCACCCGGUUUUUGUUUUUGUACAACCUGACCACUAUAUUCUUACAUGUUGUGGAUUUCGAAUCACUAAAAUGAAAAGGAACGUUGUAGGAGGCUAGGAGCUUUUAAAUGUAGGGUAUUAACCUCGACCAUGUGAAAGUAAAAAAAUCAAGACUUUAAAUCGUAUAUAUAUUAAUUAGUGAUUUGAAACGGAUUUUAUGUUGAUUUUAUUUAAGAUGAAGAGUAUUGAAAAAAGAAAGAUCAAAAAGAAAUAUAUAAUUUGAGUUUCAAUAAAAGAAUUAUUUUUUUCACCAACGAGCUUUUAUUCAAUUCCGUAUGCAUUCAUUUGUGUUGCUUUUUAGACGUAUGUGAAUGUCUCAUUAGAUGUCAAAUGUGAAGGGUUGAAAAAAAAUACAUAUAUGAGAGAGAUAUCUAACUUUGAUUUCUCUGUAAAAAAUGUAAUGGUUUGAUAAGAAUGAUUCGCUGAUUGAUCUGAUUGCACACUAGAUGGCGGAGGGUGGUCAAUUGAGUUAUGAUCAACGUGACACAAUAUUUUCAUCUCGUAUCUAUGCCUUGGAUGGAAUUGUGAUAGAUAACGAGAUCAUAGACAUCUUUAAAUUGGACUCUCAUAUGACCAUAUGUUAUAGCUAAAGCAGUUAACGCAAAGCGGGCAUGUUGUGGAACUUGUAGCGGUCAAUGAAGUAAAGUCGUGAAAUGCUACGAUACACUGUGAACGAGGAUGCCACACAUGUUUACCGAUUAAAAAAGGUCGGGGUACUACAAUGGCACCACAACUAAAACCAGUGACCAAAACAGUAACUAGUUAGUUCUCCUCCAUCCACAUUCCUCGCUAUAAAAAAUCAAAUCCCUCUUCCUCCCCCACACAAUUUGCAGUGAACCACCCAAACUGAAAGAAUCUCAGAGAAAGAAAAAAAUGCAUUACUACAGAAGCAGGAGCGACUCGUUCUUCGACUCGUUCACCCUAUACCCGCUCCCGUACCCGGUGCUCCUCCUCCUCGCUGUGAUCUUCAUCUUCCUCGGCGGAUCCUGGUACUUCAGCUACGAGGAGCUCGUCGAAUCCACCGAAUCGCAGUUCGGCUGGGCUCUGUUUCUCGUCCCGGUGAUCCUCAUCUUCCUCGUGCAGUGGCUAUCCUCCUUCGACAGCGCCGGGAUGUUCAGUCUCUCUCGCCGGCGGACUCACUUCUACCAGCAGCCGUCGUCGGACGGCGGAGGUGCCUCGCCCUGGGGAGUCGCGGCGUUGAUCGUUGUCCUGCUUAUUCUGUUGCAGUAUCAGUCCGCUUUUCUUGACAGCUGGUUCUUCUGAUUCAUCGGAGAUUUUGAAUUUAAAUUAUAUUUUCCUUUUUAAUUUGAAUUUUUAUUUUUGUGUUGAUUAUAGAGCUUAGUAACGUUUGUAGAGUAACAUUCAAGUUCCUAAAGUUACUGUUAGAUUAUUUUUUUUAGUCAUGUCCUUCAACUUUGAAAUUUUUGGCUUAAGGGCAUUGUUUGACAUGGGAGAUGUUAGAUGAUAUUAAUCGAAUAAUUAGUUUUAUCUUUGUAUUUCGAUAAUAUUGAACAUCGUACUAAUAUUUUUUAUAAACAAAUUUACCCUCAAACUAAUUAAAAGUUACACAUAACUUGGGACUACAAUAAUAUUUUUAAUACCUUUUUUACAAGCAAAGCGUCCGCCAGCCCAAAAAUUCUUCGAAAAUAUUGUCUCCUAGCUAUGUCCAUCACCAUAUUAUCAGCCAUUUCCAAAAAUAAAAAGAAGAACUAUUCUUCGUCAUUCUUAAACUCAUAACCCAUCUUAACCCAUGCAUCUAUUACAAAGUUAGUCUCACCCUUUACAUAGUUAAUUGGAACAUGUAUAUGUGUUCAUAAUUGGUUUUUUUCUACAUCAUUCCAUGACGAUAUCCUAGAGAUGCAAUUAGACAAGAAAAGGCCCUUAUAAGUAAACAUGGGCCAAAGCCCGUAAAAUACAGGCCUGUACUUUUCAGUAGGCCGGAAGCCUGUAAUUACUUCAACCCGCGAACUAAUGCCUCCUUCUCCAUUCCACUACCGAUUCGAAAACCAGAGCCUUCUCCCAUUCGCCGACCGAAUCAAGCUUCUUCUUCAUCCGCCGAUCAUCAGACGAGUUCGGGACUAAAAACUCCAGGAACCCUGACUACUGGCAGACUAAACAAACGAUAAUAAGUUAUGGCGGGCAUGGGAGACGGCUACGUCGGCACGGCGCAGAACGCCGUGAGGAUCCGCCGUCUGGAGAAGCAGCUAGGAGCGGAGCGUCGGAAAAUCGCGAAGCUGAAGGCCAAGUCCGCGUCCGGUAAUGGCCAGACCGGGCUUCUCCAGCUCGGUUCAAGUAUAUCGGAGGUAUGCUGUUUUCUGGUUUGCUCGUUUCAGCUCGAUUCGAAUCGCCUAGGGUUUUGCUUGAUUUUGAUGUUCUCUCCCUUCUGUUUCUUUUGGGGUAGAUUCUGUAGAGUUUUUGAUUCUUUUUUUUUUUCUGUUUGCUUUCUAAGUUUAUGAAUAUGAGCUAAUGUUUACGGGAACGGUUACUGUACAGAAUAAGAUUGAAGAAGAGGAGAAGAAGAAGCUUCAGAAGCUACGACAAGAGUGAGUUUUGCUUUUACAUUAUGGAUCAUUUCCGGAUGGUUAGUUUGUUUAAUUGUGUGUGUGUGAUGGUUGGUUGAUUUAUGUUUGUGUGCUUCAGGGGGGAGGAACCGCAGCUAGCUAAACGGAAGAACAUGGUAACCAAAUCGAAGUCGAAUGCCAAGGCAAUCCGACAGGAGCGGCGAACGGCCGAACUGGAUGAAAUAUCCUUACUGAAGGAGUGGAUUGAAUCGCAAAAACCUGAAUCCGGAUCCAACCCGCUUGCCCUCAAACCACAUCCGGACAAUGCACCAGUCGGCCGCCUCCAAGAUGGCAGCUUCUCUGCUUAUUCUGCUGCGAUGAAGUUUCGUGAAUUGCCGUUGUCGAAGAAGACGAUUGAUGCUCUGACGAAGAGCGGUUACGUCAACAUGACUGAGAUUCAAAGAGCUUCCUUGCCCCACGCCCUCUGUGGCAGGGAUGUUCUUGGUGCCGCUAAAACUGGCUCCGGCAAAACUUUGGCUUUUGUUAUCCCUGUGAGUAGUUCGGGAAACUUUUUGUUUUCCUUUGGCAACCUUGUUCAAAGAGUAGUGUUUUUUUUUUCAGUUUAUGGUUGUUCUUAUGUUUAGGGGAAUUUGACUUCAGGUGCUGGAGAAGUUACACAAUGAGAGGUGGGGUCCAGAGGAUGGAGUAGGGAGCAUUAUAAUCUCACCGACAAGGGAACUGGCUGGCCAGCUGUUUGAUGUGCUGAAAGCUGUUGGCAAGUUCCACAGCUUCAGUGCUGGUUUGUUGAUCGGUGGUCGGAAGGAGGUUGACAUGGAGAAGGAGCGUGUAAAUAAACUCAACAUACUGGUUUGUACGCCUGGUCGUCUUCUUCAGCAUUUGGAUGAGACUCCCAACUUCAAUUGCUCUCAAGUUCAGGUUUGAAACAUCCUCCAUGAUCAUUGAUGAUUUUCUGAGUAAAAAGAUUUGGAUAAAACUAUGAAGGUCAUAUUGGCUUUAUUGCAGAUGUAGCUUCCAAAUCGUUAAUGUGUGUGUGAAAUUACUUUUCAGUUUUCAAAUUUUCGGCUAUAUCAAUUUAGAUGAUUUGUUCAGACAAGUUAAAUUAUUUUCAGUUUACCAUUUGCUUAUUUCCACACAUUGUCCUAAUUCUUUCUCUGAUGUUUCUACUCUUACGGACUCUGAAUUGGCAUAAACAUUAUUUGGCUCCUCUAUGCUUAGAUUUGACGAAACAAGCAUCUGUUUUUCAAAUCUUUUAAUCCCAGCUGAUUAAUUGUAAUCUUUUUGCUUGGAAACAGAUUUUGGUUCUGGACGAGGCAGAUCGCAUUCUCGAUGUUGGCUUUAAGAAGUCUUUGAAUGCAAUUGUUUCACAGCUUCCUAAGCACAGACAAACUUUUCUUUUCUCUGCUACGCAAACAAAGUCUGUCCAGGAUCUUGCAAGGCUAAGUUUGAAGGACCCAGAGUACAUCAGUGUUCAUGAGAAGGCCGAUUCUGCUACCCCUAGUCGGUUGCAGCAGACAGCGAUGAAUGUUCCUUUGGAUCAAAAGUUAGACAUGUUAUGGAGUUUUGUCAAGGCACAUCUCAACUCCAAAAUCCUUGUUUUUCUUUCUACUUGCAAACAGGUAUUUUAUUCUUCGGCCUUUAUCGACAUAGGCAUGCAUGUCCCACAUGGAUGAAGUACUUUUUCAGCUAUCUGAAAGUUUGGCCAGUUGUUUAUGAUUGUGGCUUUUGGUUAUUGAAUAGGUGAAGUUUGUUUUUGAAGCAUUCAAAAAGCUGCGGCCUGGAAUUCCACUAAAAUGCCUCCAUGGGAGGAUGAAGCAGGAGAGAAGGUCAAUUAUUUAUUCUCAAUUCUGCGAGCAGCGGUCGGUUCUGUUCUCGACCGAUGUGGCUGCCAGAGGUCUUGACUUCAAUAAAGCAGUUGACUGGGUUGUCCAGGUUAGAUAUUUGUAAUUUUUGGUCGAAAGAGUGCUUUUGCAAAUCACUUGUUUUCUUCUCAAAACCGUUCUUCAUUUUUCCAGGUGGACUGUCCAGAAGAUGUUCCAUCCUACAUACACAGAGUUGGCCGUACUGCACGAUACUUGUCAGGGGGGAGAUCUGUUUUGUUUUUGGCACCAUCAGAAAUGCAAAUGCUUGAAAAGUUGAAAGCUGCCAAUAUUCCUUUAAAGUUCACAAAGGUCAGACUUUCUAUAUCAACAGCAACCAACAGAUCCGCGUGUCUUAUGUUACUGAUGGUACUUGUAUGGUUCUAUCAAUCUUUCAGGCUAAUAAAACAAAAUGGCUGCAACCAGUUUCCGGGCUGCUAUCAGCGUUGUUGGUGAAACAUUCUGAACUGCAGGAGUUGGCUACAAAGGCCUUUAUAAGAUACAUGCGUUCUAUACACGUUCAGAAAGACAAAGAGGUUUUUGAUGUGAUGAAAUUGCCCAUUGAUGAAUUUGCAGCAUCAAUGGGUCUGCCACUCACCCCUAAGAUACGGUUUGUGGAAAGAAAACUCAAAGGCAAGAGGUUGGCUGGAGAAUCUUCUGUUGCUGAAAUGGAACCAAUAGACAUUAAGAAACCAAAGACCACUAGCAAGUUAAAGGAGGAAUCCUUGGAUAUACCAACAGAUUUACUCGAGGUAGGGGACUCGGAGGAAGAGGAUGUGGAGAAAGAUCUCCUUCAUUCUAAGCAGACCGGAAAUGAGAGCAGUGAUAAAGCGAUGGAAAUAGGAGACACAAUGUAAGUUUUACUUCUUAACUGUCCCCCUUUAUCUCUUGUUUUAGAGUCUGCAAUUAAUCGAUGUGGCUCAAUCCAUCUAUUGUGAUCUGUUUUUUUAUCUCAUCUAGGCUUGGAACCCGCAUCUCUAAGAAGAAAAAGCUGAAGAUCAACAUCCAUAGACCUGUUGGAACGAGAGUUGUUUUUGAUGAAGAAGGGAAAACACUUGCUCCACUGGCAAGGGUGGCUGGGUCAAUCAAUGCUGAAGAUGAUUCUUCUUUGCUUGACAAAGGUAACUGCUUUGAAUGAAGAGAAUCCAAAGCUGAAGUAGCUUAAUGGUUUAGUUGUCUCUCUAGAGUAUUAGAGUGGUUGCUUUGUAGACUUUUUCUGGGACUUUCCAAGGAAAUCUGUUAGGAAGAAAUCUAUUGGUAACUUGAAAUAGUUUCUGAAAGUUGGUGUCAUUUUUCUUGUUGCAGAGAAAAGAGCUGAGUAUUAUCAGAAGAUGAGAGAAGAGAUGAAGAAAGUGGACAAGGUAGACAAGGUUGUUGACAGCCAACGUCGUAGAGAGAAGCGAAUGAAGGAGAAGAUAAAGCGGAAGAGAGGACUCGGCGAUGAUGAUGAAGAAGAAGAGGAAGAUGAAGAUGUAUCUGGUUCAGAAGGAGAAGGAACAAAUGGAGGGAAGAAAUCCAACAAGAGAUCAAAGAUAUAUUUCAAUAGUUCUGACAGUGAUGAUGAUGAGGGUGGAAAGAAAGACAAAAUAGACUCUAUAUCUCUAGCAGAGCAAGAAGCUCUGGCGCUGAAGCUGUUGAGUAACAUGCACCAUUAGAAUUGAGAGCUGUUGAGUAACUCUUCUGGUUGAGAUAUGAAACCAGGCAAUUUUGUGAAAGAGAAUGCAAGUUCGAAAUAGAUUUUCUCCGAGUUUUUUAUGCAGUUCUCGAAUCUUUGUAAUAUGUAAUAUUGCAAUUUUUGUUCUUACUUUGCUUAGAUGCCCUGUUCUGAUCGAAUCAGAAAGGGUUGUAUUUUUAUGGGUUCCCACAACCACAAGCAAGUGUGAAGUUGAAAGAUGGUUUCUUCAGUCAUGAGUUGAAUAUAUCUCAACGGUUUCAAAUCCGACUCGGUAUACACCCUCGGGUUGUCGCGAGAAACCUUAGCACGUACCACUCAAGAAGGAAACUAGCAAUUCAAGAAACUCUUUCAAGACAAUCAUAUGAACUUGAAACCAUAGCUUAUCCCUAAUAAACAAUUUCAGGUUACAAAGAUACAACAAAGACUCUGGUCUCUCUCACAAGGAACGCUUCUAGGCUUCCCCUCCUUGCUUUAUUGGCCGGAACACACACGAUGAAAAAACCCUCAAGCGGUGACUUUCUUCGAUGUCACGGAGUUCACAAUG
rnacentral:lncRNA from 1 species